rnacentral:lncRNA from 12 species
GCCGAGAGGCGCAGGAUCGCCUGGGGUGAGAGGCCUUGGCUCAUGCGUGGCUGAAACCGAUCCUCCUCCGGCUCUGGCCCAAUGGGCGGCCUGCUGGCGCUGGCGUGUCACUUGCAGGUGGCCACGCUCCCGUUCAGGCAUCAGACGGCCUGGCUGGGAAGCACGCUCCUUACUGCAAUUUCAUACCAGGACAUUUGAGAGGGUUACGGGAAACCGUCUUUCCCUGACUCUAUCAUCUUGAGUGAAGCGGAUGGAGGGCCUGUAAAAAGCGUGUCCUUUAAUUUAUGGCAACAUAAACAAACCUGAGCAGCCUGGACUGAAAGUCAGAGAUGAGGGGGAUAGGGGAGAAGCGUGGGCGUGGAUAAUGCGGUUAAAGUCCUUUUGCCUCAUGCGGCGGGGCUCUGGGAGGGAUGGCUUUGGCGCUUGGGCCACUUGCACCAUGCUCUGCUCACACCGAAAUUGUAGAAAUAGAUGGAUUUGUUUACUUCCCGCAUUGGAACAGGGUAUUUUUAAUAGCUGCAGGAAAGUGCUUCAUUGGCAAGGAUCGGAGAAGAGCAAUUCGGCCCACAUUCAGGAAGGCAUACAGUAGGGAACAGCUACAAUGCUUCACCCAGACCGAUGCACAUCACAUCAGAGAGGAAGACACAUGUGUGAUUCAUUUUGCUAAGCCUCAAGUCUAAGGAUUUACCUAAGGACCCAGGAAUGUUGUGAGGCCUUCGAGGUUAUUGAUCACUGUGUUGGGGAUUCACUUACCUUCCCACGUCAGAGGAGGUAUAGUCAAGAAAGUUUGAGUCAAUCGGUUCUGUGUUCAAAUAUCCAGAGGUCACCCAGCACUGGGGAGUUGGUGAACUAAUGCACUUUGGACUUGGGGAUCCAAGUAAAUUAGCUGUUGAGCACACUCAGCAUUAGUCACUCACGAACGUCUGAAACCACCAUAACAUCAAACACUUGGAUGAGACUUAAAGAAGAAGCAAAAGCUGCCCGGGUGAAUUUUUCUUUUACUUUUUUGAAACCAGGAAACUCGAUCAAACUUUUGCAUAAAUAUAUGAUAAAGUUCUAUUGCUCAGCUUUUAAUGCUCGCAAGAAUUCUAAGUAAACAUAGAUGAAAUACAACUUGUCAGCACAAAAAUACUGCCUGUCAUAGUCUUUUGUGUAUAAAAUAUGACCUGCAGGUUUGAACCAUAUGGUUACAUGAGUUCUAAUUUACGUGGCAUCUUCUUAAGUCAGCAGAAUGUGUCCUGGCCUGCCGGUGGGAGGUGGAGUCAGCACCUCACCCAGUGAAGUGGAAAAGGCUCCCCGGGGCUUCGGCCAGUUUGGGCUGCCACAGUGGAGAUCGGAGAUUUGCAAGGCCAGUGGCUCGGGCCCAGGCCCUCGAGGGCCCUCCCUUGCGGUGGCAUGGCUGUCCCUAUUAUCAGCCUACAAAGUCGGACAGGCAAAAUUGCAAAAUAUUAAACAUCACAGCCUGUGACUUAGGCGUUCCUUCUGUUCCCACUGGCAGGGAGGGGUAGGUAACCCCCCACCCCCCCACCCCAGAUGCAAUGGGAAGAGCGGACGUUUGGAUGCCAUUUUAAAGCAACGUUUAAUGAAGUGAGAAAAUGCAUUUGUAGCGUUGUGCUUCGUGGCACAUAUAUGCAAGCCCAGAAGUGCACAAUGGACACAUUCUGUGAUUUAGACAUGAAUUGGAAAAGCCAAGGAAAUGCCGUGGAAAUAAAAAUCAGACUCCAAAAUCUACGCUGAGCCA